UACGGGAGGCAGCAGUAGGGAAUCUUUCACAAUGGGCGAAAGCCUGAUGGAGCAACGCCGCGUGCAGGAUGACGGCCUUCGGGUUGUAAACUGCUUUUAUACAGGGAUAAAGUGACGUACGUGUACGUUUUUGUAGGUACUGUAUGAAUAAGGACCGGCUAAUUCCGUGCCAGCAGCCGCGGUAAU
rnacentral:rRNA from 1 species